rnacentral:misc_RNA from 1 species
GUUUUGUUUGCCCUGUUUCGCCCUGCUGCUUCUUAUUCUCUUGCAGAUACAGAUGACUUUUUCAAGAGAUGCCCAGAAAUUGAUUGUGGAAAGCUUGGCAAGAUCAUCGCACCUUUCACCAAUAAAACACUUCCUCAGUGGUGCGCUCCCUUUGUGGUAGAUGAUUGCGAUAAAGAACAUCAAAAGAUCCAACUGAACAGGGGAGGAAGAUGGUAUGAAAUUGAAAGCAUCCAUCAGUCCAACACCAUUGAUAUUACUGACACAGAGUUCCAGAAGCAGCUGAAUUCCAGGCAGUGCCAAUCCUUCAAAAAUUUUAAUUUUCCCAGUUUCAAUUAUGUGCGUUUUACAAUCACGAACAAUCUUACCCUUUUCAAAUGCAACCAUGCUUCCAAUCUUUCUCCCCAUCCCAAUUUUUAUUUUAAUUAUACAGAGUGCAACAACUUCAGCAUCUACUAUACUUACAUGAACAGAACUCUG